CACGAGAGCAGUCGCAAAAUGGAAGGGUGCCACUGCUGGCAGUGUAUUGAGGAGUAAUUGAGAAAUAGAGAAUAUGAGCUUCUAGAAACUCCCCCCAAUUACCCCGCAGAAGGGGGUCUAGAGGUGGAUGAAGGCUUCUAUGAGCUGUCUGCGGGGGAAGAUAAUGAGGAGCCACCACCGGCAUUCAAAACUCCACCACCAGGGGAAGGGGGAACUCCCAGUCCAGAGUCACCCAACUCCUGGGUGACUGAAAUGGAGUCGCCGGUGGUGGUAAUUCCGAGGCGCCGCCACCACCGCCAUCAUCGCCGCCAUCGUCGUAGCUUCCACUACCGGCACACUCAUCGCCACCGCCAUCACC